rnacentral:sRNA from 1 species
AUGGCAUCUGUUUUCUGCGUUUUGAUGACACCAACCCCGAGAAGGAGGAAGCAAAGUUCUUCACUGCCAUCUGUGACAUGGUGGCCUGGCUAGGCUACACACCUUACAAAGUCACAUAUGCGUCUGACUAUUUUGACCAGUUAUAUGCGUGGGCUGUGGAGCUCAUCCGCAGGGGUCUGGCUUAUGUGUGCCACCAGCGAGGAGAGGAGCUCAAAGGCCAUAAUACUCUGCCCUCACCCUGGAGAGACCGUCCCAUGGAGGAGUCACUGCUACUCUUUGAGGCAAUGCGCAAAGGCAAGUUUUCAGAGGGCGAGGCCACACUACGGAUGAAGCUGGUGAUGGAGGAUGGCAAGAUGGACCCUGUAGCCUAUAGAGUCAAGUAUACACCACACCACCGCACAGGGGACAAAUGGUGCGUGUAGAAUGGGGUGGGGUGGUGGGGCUGCCUAGCAGGGCGAUGGGCCAUGGGGUAGGGCAGAGUAGGGCUGGAUGGUAGGGCCCACUGCCUAUGCCCCACAGGUGCAUCUAUCCCACCUACGACUACACACACUGCCUCUGUGACUCCAUCGAGCACAUCACUCACUCACUCUGCACCAAGGAAUUCCAGGCCCGACGCUCUUCCUACUUCUGGCUUUGCAAUGCACUGGACGUCUAUUGCCCUGUGCAGUGG